CCUGACUAACCAUAAGAGGUCAAGCCUGCCCAGUGACAUUGUUCAACGGCCGCGGUAUCCUAACCGUGCGAAGGUAGCGUAAUCACUUGUUCUUUAAAUGAGGACUAGUAUGAACGGCUUCACGAAAGCUAUACUGUCUCCUUUAUCCAAUCAGUAAAACUAAUCUCCCCGUGAAGAAGCGGGGAUCUGUCUAUAAGACGAGAAGACCCUAUGGAGCUUUAAACAUCUUAAAACACUUGAGUACAUCAUUAAACUUCCGCAAACUUCAUUAAGCCCCUCAUUCUGCUUUAAGUUUUAGGUUGGGGCGACCACGGAGAACAACCCACCCUCCAUGUAGAAAGAACCUUUCUUCUAAGCGAAAAGCUACAUCUUUAUGCAUCAAUACAUUGACCUAAAUUGACCCA
rnacentral:rRNA from 1 species